rnacentral:rRNA from 1 species
AUUGAACGCUGGCGGCAGGCCUAACACAUGCAAGUCGAACGAGUGGCGGACGGGUGAGUAAUGUCGGGGAAAGUGCCUGAGGGGGGGGGAUAAAGUCGGGAAAAGGUAGCUAAUACCGCAUACCAUCGGAUGAGCACAGAUGGGAUUAGCUUGUGGGUGGGGUAACGGCGCACCACGGCGAAGUUCCCUAGCUGGUAUGAGAGGAUGACCAGCCACACUGGAACUGAGACACGGUCCAGACUCCUACGGGAGGCAGCAGUGGGGAAUAUUGCACAAUGGGCGCAAGCCUGAUGCAUCCAUGCCGCGGGUAUGAAGAAGGCCUUCGGGUUGUAAAGUACUUUCAGCGGGGAGUCGUUACCCGCAGAAGAAGCACCGGCUAACUCCGUGCCAGCCGCCGCGGUAAUUC